rnacentral:rRNA from 1 species
GAUGAACGCUGGCGGCGUGCCUAAUACAUGCAAGUCGAGCGAAUGGAUUAAGAGCUUGCUCUUAUGAAGUUAGCGGCGGACGGGUGAGUAACACGUGGGUAACCUGCCCAUAAGACUGGGAUAACUCCGGGAAACCGGGGCUAAUACCGGAUAACAUUUUGAACCGCAUGGUUCGAAAUUGAAAGGCGGCUUCGGCUGUCACUUAUGGAUGGACCCGCGUCGCAUUAGCUAGUUGGUGAGGUAACGGCUCAACAAGGCAACGAUGCGUAGCCGACCUGAGAGGGUGAGCGGCCACACUGGGACUGGGACACGGCCCAGACUCCUGCGGGAGGCAGCAGUAGGGAAUCUUCCGCAAUGGACGAAAGUCUGACGGAGCAACGCCGCGUGAGUGAUGAAGGCUUUCGGGUCGUAAAACUCUGUUGUUAGGGAAGAACAAGUGCUAGUUGAAUAAGCUGGCACCUUGACGGUACCUAACCAGAAAGCCACGGCUAACUACGUGCCAGCCGCCGCGGUAA